rnacentral:lncRNA from 1 species
AUUAGUUCUAUAUUUCCUUUUUUUUUACGAGCUACAAGUUCAUAUCCCUGUAACUAUUUCAUUGACAAAGUGACAUCUACCAGAAGAUGGGGACAAUCUAUCCUCAUGUCUAUUAUUUUCAAACAACAAUCUCAUCUCAUGUUAACCUGAAUUUAGUGAGAUAAAAAGUAUUCUAACACUUCUAUGUUGCAUCUCCCAUUAACUUUAUCGAUACAAAUUUGAAAGAAUUCCUCAUCAAUUAGAUGAUGUUCAUACAUGGGUGAUGAACUUCUAUCUUGUGAAAGUGUUGGUAUAAAAAGUAGCUUGGCGGCAACCAAAAGUGCUAGAAAAGUGAUAGAACAAUCUAAUUUUGCCAUAUUGAGACUAAGAAAA